UCAAAUAUCUUCGAAAUCAGUGCAGUGUAGGUAUGACACUCUUUAUUCAUUCUCAGGUUUGUAACUACCCGUAUCAGAGUCCCAUAGCUUGUAUUUACAAGGGAGAAAGCAAUUGCUAGCUUCUGGCUGUGCACAAGGGAUGUGUCAGGGGUGUAGCCCUCAAAUCUGAGCUGCCAUUCCAUCUGAUGGAGCAUCUCAUAAACUUCAUCAUUCUUGGGGUGCGACUUGUCAUGCGAAACAAAGGUAUGCAUCCUGCCCUUCACCUCCACCCUGCUGUAUCCUGGAACCUGCAGCACUCCUCUAUCCGCCAUUUCUGCUCUGAUCCUUGCUGCAUCAUCCCAUCUUUGUGCUUCAGCAUACAUAUUUGAUAAAAUUAUGUGAUCUCCUGCAUUAUGAACAUCUAGCUGCAUUAGAUUUUUAUGGGCACAUUCUGCAAGCUCCAGGUUUCCAUGAAUUUUGCAGGCAUUCAGUAGGCAGCGCCAAGCCACAUCGGUUGGCCCCAUUGGCAUGCUCCUGAUCAGCUCGUAGGCCUCGUUCAGCUUCCCAGCUUGGCUUAUGAGAUCCACC
rnacentral:lncRNA from 1 species